UUUCACUGCCUCUUUAUAACAAGUUCCUCAUAUUAUUACAACUCAAGAAGCUCGAAAGCCAGCUUGCAAAUUUUGACCAAUAUCUUCCACUUCCGCCGGAAAUAGACAACGGCAAAAUCAAGAACUGCACUCACUCCAGGCCACGUGGUAAAUAAAUUAAUUUCCAUGCUCUUUUAACGACAGCAGCAAGACCCUCCAGCUCAUCAAGUCGACCAUCCACUGCACAUUCCUCCAGAGAUGGAAGGCAAACUCCCAUGCGGGCUACACCCAGUAGUGAUGGCAGCAGGUGUACAUCUUCUCUCAGCGAUCAUCUGGAUUCCAUGAAUGACAAACUGAAUGCACUUGAAAUUGAUAGAAUUACUGAUCAUCUAAGGCAAUUAUUACUUGAUGAAAAAGAAGGACUUCUGGGAGACAUUGCCUUUUUGCAGGUACAGUAGCGGUUGUAAAGUAUUGCACAAAGGUGUAUUCAAUUGGAAAAAGUGUGCCUGUGCACCCUUGACACUUUGUUUAUCCAGGUAGAUACUUCAUAAAUAACUUUUGUCAUUGGUUAUCUAGUCUAACCUUAAAUGGAGCAUUUUGAUUUUUUUCCCCAGGAACAGUCGAACCUCUCCCAACAGACACCUCCAUAAUAAGGACACCUCUAUAUUAAGGACAGCUAACUUAGUCCCAGAGAUACCAACGUUCAUAUAAUCUCUUCCUCUUUUAUAUGGCCAUCUCUAUGAUAUGGACACUCAGAUCUGCCCCAUUGGUGUCCGUGUUAGAGAGGUGUGACUGUAUUCCAAAUUUACCGUCAUUGACUUCUUAGAUGUACACUCAUAAUUGAAGAAGCUAGUGGUAGAAGGGAAUAAGUAACGAUUUUGGAAGUGUUUUUUUGUUUGGUCCAGAUUAGCUUAAUUUUUGCAUGUGGCCUAAAUAAAUUGUUUUUUGUACCAUAAUUUCUUGUUGAAGAAAUAUUCUUGCAAGUCUGUGGACCAAACCGAAGUGUCAAAAUCUGCAAAUUGCAAAAAA